rnacentral:lncRNA from 10 species
AGUAAGUCCAGCCCGAGGCUAAGGUGAGAGCGUCUGCCGGGACAGUGUGGCUGGACCCACGUGGCAGGAGGUGUUAACCACCGAAGGGAGGUAGAAUGUUUUUCCCCACCAGAGGAGGCAGCGACCACGUCUCCUCUAUGGAGGCAUUCAAGAGCCGUCCAGCUGAAGCAGCAUCACUGUCUGAGCUCGGAAGGCACAAUCCACAUAGGUCUGCAUGGUCCACCGAGCUGCAUACCCACGGGGCCAGCGGGAGGUGGGCAGCUGCUGGGCUCUCUUCUGAAGCAGGGUCUUGCUCUGUCACCCAGUCUGGAAUGCAGUGGUGCCAUCAUAGCUCACUACAGCCUGAGCUGUACUGAGCUCGAGGGAUCUUCCCGUCUCCGCCUCCUAAGCAGCUGGGACUACAGGCAAGAAGAAAGCUUCCCUACACAUUUAUCAAGGCUGUUAUAAUCCUGACUCCCAAACAAGGUGUCAGAAACGAAGAGACUCAAGAAAAGACUGCCUGCCCUACUCACCUUGACUGAGCGCUGACGAAGACCACGGGGCCCUCUGCGCUGCAAGGGCGGAGGUGGCCCAGAAGCCCGCAGUGCCCACGUGCAGGACCCAGGGUAGGGGGUGAGGCCGGACGAUGGCACCCGCCCCGCUGGUUCCCAGCCACACAGGGAGGCAAAGCAAAGGCAGCCCGCGGGCGGAUGGAGCUGCAGGGGCCGAGCGUCGGCAAGCCCAGGACGGCCUGGCGCAGGGUUGCGGGCGCCCGACCUCCAGCGUGGCCCGCGGAUGCAAGACAAAGCUUUAAAGCCUCCGGCCGCACAGCCACCCACUAGUCCCCAGGUAUGAGGACGGUCUGAAGAACCUCUCUCUCCUCUGCCUGCUGAAGAGUUCCAAGACAAGUAAGGCAACAGCAAGGACGACACAACCACACACCGCCACAACCACACGCCACCACCACCACACACUACCACAACCACACCACACACCUCCACAACCACACACCACCAACCCCACACUGCCACAACCACACACAACCACACACCACCACCACACACCAGAACCACACACAACCACACAUAACCACAACCACACAACACCACAACCACAACCACACACCAGCACCACAACACACAACCACAACCUCCCUCUGAGCUGCUCAGGCUGCUUUAACCAACCAGUUUGGAAUCCAAUCAAAAUCCUCUGCUGCCGUCUAGCGACGAAUACCGGGAAAGCAGAAUAUAUAGUAAGAAAGCUGUUUAAGAGGCAAAAAGUGAUCGUCUAAAGGUUUGCAAGUGCAAGCCAGAAGAACCUGGUCAUCCUGUGUUCAUGACAGUGCCUUGAACUGGGUCACCCCGCACUUGCUAAGGGGCUGGUGUGGGAUGUGACAAGAAGAAAGUCGUCAAGGGGACUCCAAGAUUUCUGACUUGAGAAACUGAAAAAGCCACUGUUAACUGAGAUUUUUUUUUUUUUUAAUGUGGGUGGAACGGAUUUGGGCAUAAAGAUUUAAAAAUCCAGUUUGAAACGUGCUAAAUUGGAAUGUUUAAAAGGGAAUACUUGCUAAACUGAGCAAUAAUUAUGCUGUCUCCAGGUUAGCACGCGUCCCCUUUUAGGUCAAAGGAUACAGAGUAGCAAGUAUGUAGGAGGAACAAAUCAAAAGAUCUAAUGAACAACAUCGGGACUGUCGUUUCUAUAGUGUGUUGUGUUAAGGAUUUUUGCAAAAUCAGUAGAUCAUAGCUGCUCUUGCCACAAGGCGGAAAAACGGAAAAAUGGAAAAACGGGUAACUAUGUGAGAUGAUGGAUAUAUUAAUCUGUUGUACUCUAGUAACCAUUUCACUAGAUACAUAAUAUCGUGUUGAACACCUUAAAUAUACACCACCAGAUUUAUUUUUUAAAAUAAAAAUGAAACAUGGCUUG